UCUGGGAUAGCUCAGUCGGUAGAGCAUGAGACUCUUAAUCUCAGGGUUGUGAGUUUGAGCCCCACAUUGGGCAAAA